rnacentral:rRNA from 1 species
GACGAACGCUGGCGGCGUGCCUAAUACAUGCAAGUCGAGCGAAGUUUUUCUGGUGCUUGCACCGGAAAAACUUAGCGGCGAACGGGUGAGUAACACGUAAAGAACCUGCCUCAUAGACUGGGACAACUAUUGGAAACGAUAGCUAAUACCGGAUAAUAGCAUUAACUGCUGGGUUGAGGUUUAAAAGUUGGUUUUGCUAACACUAUGAGAUGGCUUUGCGGUGCAUUAGCUAGUUGGUGGGGUAAAGGCCUACCAAGGCGACGAUGCAUAGCCGACCUGAGAGGGUGAUCGGCCACACUGGGACUGAGACACGGCCCAGACUCCUACGGGAGGCAGCAGUAGGGAAUCUUCCGCAAUGGGCGAAAGCCUGACGGAGCAACGCCGCGUGAGUGAAGAAGGAUUUCGGUUCGUAAAGCUCUGUUGUUAGGGAAGAAUGAUUGUGUAGUAACUAUACACAGUAGAGACGGUACCUAACCAGAAAGCCACGGCUAACUACGUG